rnacentral:rRNA from 1 species
UACGUAGGCGGAAUAUUAAGUCAGUGGUGAAAUCCUGCGGCUCAACCGUAGAACUGCCAUUGAUACUGAUAUUCUUGAAUGUAGUUGAGGUAGGCGGAAUGUGUAAUGUAGCGGUGAAAUGCUUAGAUAUUACACAGAACACCGAUUGCGAAGGCAGCUUACUAAACUAUGAUUGACGCUGAUGUACGAAAGCGUGGGGAGCGAACAGGAUUAGAUACCCUGGUAGUC